GCCCGGAGGAGGCGGCCCGGGAGGGGGCUCUUCGGGGGCUGCGGCACCUCCCAGUACCGCCCGCGCCGGGGCGAAGCGUCCGGCCGCCCGCUCCUGCCUGGGGAGAUGCAUCAUUCCUAGCUAAUUUCACAUCUCACACAUGAGAAAAAGGAGCCUUCUCUGACUAUCCAUCGAUGCUUUUUCCCCUCAAGAAUGGGAUGUUGGGCUUCCCUGGUGGCGCAGUGGUUGAGAGUCCGCCUGCCGAUGCAGGGGACACGGGUUCGUGUCCCGGUCCCGGAAGAUCCCACAU